rnacentral:rRNA from 1 species
CGGACGGGUGAGUAAUGUCUGGGAAACUGCCUGAUGGAGGGGGAUAACUACUGGAAACGGUAGCUAAUACCGCAUAACAUCGCAAGACCAAAGAGGGGGACCUUCGGGCCUCUUGCCAUCAGAUGUGCCCAGAUGGGAUUAGCUAGUAGGUGGGGUAACGGCUCACCUAGGCGACGAUCCCUAGCUGGUCUGAGAGGAUGACCAGCCACACUGGAACUGAGACACGGUCCAG